UACGGAGGGUGCUAGCGUUGUUCGGAAUCACUGGGCGUAAAGCGCGCGCAGGCGGUCGCGUAUGUGCCGUGUGAAAGCGCCGGGCUACUCCCGGCGAGGUCAUGGUAGACAGCGCGACUUGAGCCUCGGAGAGGUCGGUGGAAUUCCGGGUGGAGCGGUGAAAUGCGUAGAGAUCCGGAGGAACACCAGGGGCGAAGGCGGCCGACUGGCCGAGUGCUGACGCUGAGGCGCGACGGCGUGGGGAGCAAACCGG
rnacentral:rRNA from 1 species